UUUUGUUCCAGCUGUCCAGCAACAGCUCUGGUUCAGAGCCAAAGCUGCUGCAUAAAGCCCAGCCUGAAAAAUCAUAUUUAGCUGGAGUGGAUUGGACUUCAGAGAAGCUCUAUAUGAGCAAGUCAGAGUGUGCAGACAGUAUUAGCAGACAGGAAUAGCUGAACUUAGAUGAUGCAGAAGCUAUUUAUGGAAAAUUAAGUUACAUUAGUAGCUCAUCUGAGAGCAGCAGAGUUUCUGUUUGCCAGACAUUUUGACUUGAGAGAAGCAAGGCUGGCUGACUUUUAAGGACAGAGAGAAAGGCAGGACAAGGUUCAGGCACAGUUUCAGUAGAGAAGAUCUCAUCUAGGAGGAGAAACUUUAAUGGUUGCAUUAUUAAUCUUUACAGGUCUUUGUGUAAAAAUGAAAUGUGUCAUGAGAACAGGGAUUCCAAAAGGCGUGACACCCACUAUACUGAGCACUGAGCAGCUUGUGCAAAUACAAGCUUGAAUAAAAAAUUAUUACCUGAAUCUUGAAGACUCUACCCUCUAAAGAGGCUGCAAAGCCUUGAGGAGACACCUGAGAGCAUCCAUUGUCUGCUGGGCACAUCCCCCUUGGUGACAGUGACUAGUGGGGUUUCUCCUGCAUGAACUGUGCAAAUCUACAACUGUCUUCAAGACUGACAUGUAAAAAUGCAAGCAAAAGAUAAAUGACAAAAGUGAGGUAGAGGUCAAAGAAUACACCAGAGCUGGGUGCUUGAGAAGAGAAAGUGCUAAAGGUUUACUUCAAUGGGAAUGUUCCCCGACGAAGGUGAAGACUUGACCCAGAAAGGUUUGAGCGAGUUUCUGAACAAACUGAAUUAUCUUUUGUGUUUUGCAAACAUGGGUCAGCUAAAAAAAGUGUAAAAGUUUAGCUCCCAGACCACAUGUUUGAGUGGAACUAUUUCAUGUUAUUCCUUUAAAAAACAGCCCUUCUAUUUUACUUCCAAACUGCAGUGAAAUGUUAUACUCUAAAUAAAAACUGUCUUUAACCCUGCAUUUUGUAAAUGUAGUGCAUUAGCCGGAGCAGUUACUUGUUGUUUAGAUUUUUAUUAAUUCUAAACUUACCUCUUUUCAUGGAGCUCUUUUCAUUCCUCUUCUACUUGAAUUUAUCGGCACAGUAAGAACAUGAUAUUUUCUCAGCAGUUGCUUCAAAGUUUGGGUCUUAUCCUUUUAUUAGAGAACAUUCAUAUUGAGCAAUGUACCACAGUUGAAAUGAGGAUACAAAAUGGGUUUGGUCAUGAAUAAGGAAGACUUGUUUCUUCUUCCAAAGCUAAACUGUCCACAUCCUGAUUCAAUAAUAUUCUUAUCUAUGAAAAUAUUCAUUUCCUUAUUCUGAAAUAUGUUUUAUCUGCCUAAAUUACCCAAGCUUGUUUAGGAUUAUUUGAUCAUUAUAGUUCAUUUAGAGCAGCACUUAAAAAUAGUUUCCAAAAUCUCUGACACAUUUGCAAUGUUUGGGCAUAUUUCAGACUGAAAUUUUCUGUUUUGGUCAGAUAAAAAUAAUUGAUUUACUGAAUCUAAAUUAAUUGCUUUGUUUUCUCUUGCUUAUACAUUUUUUCUCUUUAAAAUUUCAUAUAGCAAAUGAGUACACUAUAUUUUUUGUCUCUCUAAUGCUGCAGUAUAUAAUAUGUUGAUCUUAGAAUAUGAUCUAUAUGGUUUUAAUGCAUUGAUUGGAUUCAAUAUUGAAUAUUGAACAGUUAAAUAGUUAAUAGCCAUUUAACAAAAUAGAGAACUAGCCAAUGUACAUGUAAUUUUUUCAUGUUGAAAUAUUUAAAUACUUUUCAUGUUACACUUUAGCAUGUUCCUGUUAAUAAUUAAAAACAUCUUGUACAGAUUAAAGGUGACCAGUUCCAAGAAGAAGAAACAUGGAGAGAUACGCUGUAAGAAAUGAGUUAAUAUCAUGAAAAUGUGGGAAAUAAUUUUUGAAAAGUCUGAAUCUCAACUUGUGCUUUAUAAAUCACAACCCAGAAGUAACUGGGGAUUCAGCCAGAUAUCAUUAAUUGCAGAGGAAGAGAAACUAUAAAGACUGAAAUUUAUGUAAAA